AGCAUCCAUGGCAAUCUAAGGGUCUAUAUAUAGAGAUUGAAGGAGAAAUAAUGAAAACACACUCUAAUAUUUUCUAUACUCUAUAGCUACACUCUCUCAAGCUCUUACCAACGAAAUUAUCUUUCCCAUAAGCUCCUAAUCAAAGCCCAGCCACCACAAACAACAAAUCAGAAGCAUCAAAGGAUCAAAAUCAAGAAAUCAAAGCUAGAAAAGGUAAAAACCCUAAAUUCUAGAAAUCCUUCGAUUCGAUGUUAAUUGGUGCAAUUGAUUGUUUAAAGUAGUGUAAUAGGGAGUCUAUUAAUGUUCUGGGUUGUAAAAUCAUGAACCCAUAACAUCAAAGUGCACGAAUUUGAAGAUUUGAGCAAGUUNNN
rnacentral:lncRNA from 1 species